rnacentral:rRNA from 1 species
AGUAACCUGCCCUUGACUCUGGGAUAAGCCUGGGAAACUGGGUCUAAUACCGGAUAUGACUCCUCAUCGCAUGGUGGGGGGUGGAAAGCUUUUGUGGUUUUGGAUGGACUCGCGGCCUAUCAGCUUGUUGGUGGGGUAAUGGCCUACCAAGGCGACGACGGGUAGCCGGCCUGAGAGGGUGACCGGCCACACUGGGACUGAGACACGGCCCAGACUCCUACGGGAGGCAGCAGUGGGGAAUAUUGCACAAUGGGCGAAAGCCUGAUGCAGCGACGCCGCGUGAGGGAUGACGGCCUUCGGGUUGUAAACCUCUUUCAGUAGGGAAGAAGCCGUAAGGUGACGGUACCUGCAGAAGAAGCGCCGGCUAACUACGUGCCAGCAGCCGCGGUAAUACGUAGGGCGCAAGCGUUAUCCGGAAUUAUUGGGCGUAAAGAGCUCGUAGGCGGUUUGU